GAGUAACGCGUAUCCAACCUGCCCACCACUUGGGAAUAACCUUGCGAAAGUAAGACUAAUACCCAAUGAUAUCUCUAGAAGACAUCUGAAGGAGAUUAAAGAUUUAUCGGUGAUGGAUGGGGAUGCGUCUGAUUAGCUUGUUGGCGGGGUAACGGCCCACCAAGGCGACGAUCAGUAGGGGUUCUGAGAGGAAGGUCCCCCACAUUGGAACUGAGACACGGUCCAAACUCCUACGGGAGGCAGCAGUGAGGAAUAUUGGUCAAUGGGCGAGAGCCUGAACCAGCCAAGUAGCGUGCAGGAUGACGGCCCUAUGGGUUGUAAACUGCUUUUAUAAGGGAAUAAAGUGAGCCUCGUGAGGCUUUUUGCAUGUACCUUAUGAAUAAGGACCGGCUAAUUCCGUGCCAGCAGCCGCGGUAAUACGGAAGGUCCGGGCGUUAUCCGGAUUUAUUGGGUUUAAAGGGAGCGUAGGCCGGAGAUUAAGCGUGUUGUGAAAUGUAGAUGCUCAACAUCUGCACUGCAGCGCGAACUGGUUUCCUUGAGUACGCACAAAGUGGGCGGAAUUCGUGGUGUAGCGGUGAAAUGCUUAGAUAUCACGAAGAACUCCGAUUGCGAAGGCAGCUCACUGGAGCGCAACUGACGCUGAAGCUCGAAAGUGCGGGUAUCGAACAGGAUUAGAUACCCUGGUAGUCCGCACGGUAAACGAUGGAUGCCCGCUGUUGGUCUGAAUAGGUCAGCGGCCAAG
rnacentral:rRNA from 1 species